AUUGAACGCUGGCGGCAGGCCUAACACAUGCAAGUCGAGCGGAUGACGGGAGCUUGCUCCUUGAUUCAGCGGCGGACGGGUGAGUAAUGCCUAGGAAUCUGCCUGGUAGUGGGGGACAACGUUUCGAAAGGAACGCUAAUACCGCAUACGUCCUACGGGAGAAAGCAGGGGACCUUCGGGCCUUGCGCUAUCAGAUGAGCCUAGGUCGGAUUAGCUAGUUGGUGGGGUAAUGGCUCACCAAGGCGACGAUCCGUAACUGGUCUGAGAGGAUGAUCAGUCACACUGGAACUGAGAAACGGUCCAGACUCCUACGGGAGGCAGCAGUGGGGAAUAUUGGACAAUGGGCGAAAGCCUGAUCCAGCCAUGCCGCGUGUGUGAAGAAGGUCUUCGGAUUGUAAAGCACUUUAUGUUGGGAGGAAGGGCAGUAAGUUAAUACCUUGCUGUUUUGACGAUACCGGCAGAAUUAGCACCGGCUAACUCUGUGCCAGCCGCCGCCGUAA
rnacentral:rRNA from 1 species